rnacentral:rRNA from 1 species
UGGGGAAUAUUGGACAAUGGGCGAAAGCCUGAUCCAGCCAUGCCGCGUGUUUGAAGAAGGUCUUCGGAUUGUAAAGCACUUUAAGUUGGGAGGAAGGGCAUUAACCUAAUACGUUAGUGUUUUGACGUUACCGACAGAAUAAGCACCGGCUAACUCUGUGCCAGCAGCCGCGGUAAUACAGAGGGUGCAAGCGUUAAUCGGAAUUACUGGGCGUAAAGCGCGCGUAGGUGGUUUGUUAAGUUGGAUGUGAAAUCCCCGGGCUCAACCUGGGAACUGCAUUCAAAACUGACUGACUAGAGUAUGGUAGAGGGUGGUGGAAUUUCCUGUGUAGCGGUGAAAUGCGUAGAUAUAGGAAGGAACACCAGUGGCGAAGGCGACCACCUGGACUAAUACUGACACUGAGGUGCGAAAGCGUGGGGAGCAAACA